rnacentral:sRNA from 1 species
CUAUCUCUUCCAAAUGCAUGACAAGGAAGUUCUCAUCAAGAGGGCAAGGCAAUACAGAAGUGUUCCACACAGGGACAUUGCAAAGACAAGCAAGUCAUCACACUGGAGAUUUUUCCUUCCAGGAAAUUGAGAAAGAUUUUCAGGACUUUGAGUUUCAGUGGCAAGAAGAUGAAAGAAAUGGCCAUGAAGCACUCAUGACAGAAAUAAAAAAGUUGACAGGAUUUCCAAAGACUCAUGUUACAAGAGGAAGCCACCAAGAAGAGCAAAGAAAAGGAGCCAGGGA